UACGGAGGGAGCGAGCGUUGUCCGAAGUUACUGGGGCGUAAAAGCGCGCGUAGGCGGGGGGAUUAAGUGAGAAAGUGAAAAGGGCUGAGGGCUCAAACCCUCAUGCAGUGCUUCUCAUACUGGUCCCUCUUGAGGGUGGUAGAGAGAAGUGGGAAUGGCUGGUGUAGCGGUGAAUGCGUAGAUAUCAGUCGGAACACCGGUGGCGAAGGCGGCUUCUGGCCAUUCUGACGCUGAGGCGCGAAGCUAGGGAGCGAACGGG
rnacentral:rRNA from 1 species